GAAAAACAAAAACCCCCCGUGAACCUUUACUAUAGCUUCACAUUGGUAUUGGGUAAAUGAUGUGUAGGAUAGCUGGGAGACUCUGAAGCUGUGUCGUCAGGCAUAGUGGAGUCGUUGGUGAAAUACCAGCCUUUAUUUAUCUGAUGCCUAACCCCGAAAGGGAGACAGUGUGUGGUGGGUAGUUUGACUGGGGCGGUCGCCUCCCAAAG
rnacentral:rRNA from 1 species